AUUAAUAAUGUGAUAUAGGUAAAAUACGAAAAUAAAAAACACACCCAUAUGAUCUGGGGGUCACGAGUCUAGAGCCUCUAAACAAAAGUGAGUAAUAAUAAUAGUAACUGAAUACUAAAACCAAAAUCUGGGAAAGUAUAUAAAAAUAAUAAUAAAGUGAAGACAUAAUGAAGAGCAGCCAGGUCCUGCGAACGUCAUGCAGAUACCUCAACGACUCUGAAAUAUCUCUGAAGACUACGAGAAUCAGCUAAGCCUCCAGUGUACCUGAAUCUGCACAUAAGCUGCAGAGAGUAGGGGUGAGUACUACCGGCUAAGUGAAUAAUAAGUAUAGAAAAUAACUGAAAGUAAGAAAUCCACGAAAGACCAUAACUCAAAGCUAUAAUUAACAAUCCAAUAACUUAGCUACAAGAUAACAGCAUAAUAGUAGCAUAACAACAAACAAAUCUCAGAUAAAGAUGCAAUGCAAUGCACAUGAAUAUGCUGCGGUGUGCAGCCCGAUCCGUUUAACAUCGACGCCGCUCACUGGGGGUGUGUAUAGACUUCGGAUGGACUCCUUCAGCCAAGCGCAAUAUUAUCAUAUCACCGCUGCGGCGUGCAGCCCGAACCAUGCUCAGUCCACAAUAUGCAUAUGAGUCAGAUAAACAGAUUCAAUCUAAUUUCCCAUUUUUCCGAUUAUUAAGGUAAAUAUAAUUUAAUUAUUNNNNNNNNNNNNNNNNNNNNNNNNNNNNNNNNNNNNNNNNNNNNNNNNNNNNNNNNNNNNNNNNNNNNNNNNNNNNNNNNNNNNNNNNNNNNNNNNNNNNNNNNNNNNNNNNNNNNNNNNNNNNNNNNNNNNNNNNNNNNNNNNNNNNNNNNNNNNNNNNNNNNNNAGGAAAAGUGACUUAGCAUUUCAUUUCGGUGAUUAAACACAUGACUGAGAUCAAUGAUUAUGCAAUCAUGUUAUCACACAGAUAUUCACCCCAGACGGGUACUACGGAUCGGCACAAGGCCCCAAACAUGGCGUUUAUCAACAACACAAUGUGCGUAUCAAACGCCAAUAAUUUAUUCAGCUCUCGGGAUAGACCAAGUCACAAUCCCCAAUCAUCUACAACCCCGCAUCUGCCAUGGGGUGCGAGUCACGCCCUAAAAUAGCAUCACAAUGUGAUAAACCGGGGUUACAAACCCUCAGGCCAUCAUCUAUACAAACUACUCACCUCUAACCGGUCGUAGCCAGGUCUGCAAUGCCUUUUCCCUUUGAAUCUUCUCCUACAAGCGUCGAAUCUAUUCAAAACCACAAAGAAUAGGUUAUUAUAGGCUAAAUAACCAUAACCCAAUUGAAAUUAUUAGAAAAACGUUAAAAAUUACAAAGUUGGUAAAACCCGAGCCCCGGGCUCACUUCUCGAAAAAUUCAGAAAGUACAUAUUUGGAUUCCUCGCCUCGCCACAAGUCUGCACAUAUAAAGUUUUACCAAAAACGGAGUCUGUUUGACCCUUCAAAUUCCCAAAAUUCAUUUCUAAAAAUUAAGACCUAGUUCUUCACAAUUUUGAACCCACUUUCAUGAAUUUGGGUGUUGAUUCUUCAAUAAAAUGGUAUUUUUAUGUUAAGAGACUCACCUCCAAUCAAUACCUGCUGAAAACACGCUUCAAAUCGCUCAAAAAGCUCCUUGGGUUCCUUAACGAUGGAGGGAAAUAUGUUUAAGCCGUGGGUGAAAUAACCCUUAGAACAUUCUGUCCGCCCAGUGAUUUACUCUAUGCGAUCGCGACCCAAGGCACGCGAUUGCGGAGAACAAAUUCCAGAACCUGAAUUUUUCUCUUACGCGAUCGCAGGUGAGACCACGGGAUCGCAGAACACUGCCCAAUAACCCUACACGAUCGCAUUAACCAACCACUCUAGCCUAAGCGAUCGCAGAGCAAGCUACGCGAUCGCAAAGACCAAUUUAGCACCCCCCCUUCGAUCCUUCUAUACAAUCGUUGCCCCUGGCUCGCGAUCGCAGAGAGCAAUUUCUGCUCUGCAAUUUCUGCUACACGUUUUCACUUCAAAAAUUCCCGUUAGCCAUCCGGAAUCACCCCGAGGCCCUCGGGACCUCAACCAAAAGCACAAAUAUGCUCUAUUACUUCAUUAAAACUCGCUCGUAAUAUAAAAACACUAUCAUAAACAUCAGCAUCCUCAAAUUACCAUGGAUUCAAGCCUAAGUUAAACCAAAACUUCUGAAACUCACAUUUGCUCCAAAACCUGACCUAAACACCUCCGAAUGAUAUGAAAAUUUGCACGCAUAUCAAAAUUACCUAACGAAGCUACUACAACUAUCGGAAUUUCAUUUCAACUCCCGGAUCAAAAUAUCACCUAUUAACCGAACUUCGCCAAAUUUCUAACUUAACCAAUUCAAGCCUAAUUCUACACCGGACCUCCAAAUUCAGUUCUGAUUUCGCUCCUAAGUCAAAAAUCACCAUACGAAACUAGUCGAAUCAUCGGAAUUCCAUUCCGAGCCCUCUAACUUAUCAUAAAUGUUCGGUUGACUUUUCCAAACGAACUUUCAAUUAAAGAGACUAAUUGUCUCAUUUCUAUCAAAAACUCCAUCCGAAUUACUUCUAACUCUCCAAAUACAUAUCUUGAAGCAUAUAACCGCAUAAAACAGGAAAAAUGGGGCGAUAAUUCACGGGACGACGGGUCAGGUCGUUACAACUAGAUGACUCACUCAUAAACUACUACACCAAAUAACUUCGAGAAUUCUAAGAAAACUGUUGUUCUUUCAAUUACAUUUGAAGAAAGUUUGCAGCGAGGAAAAAUUCACAACUUAACCUAAACUUCUCAAGACAUAAGGUCAAUUAAGUGAUAAUUUUAGUGUCGAAAGUGAAGCGAGCAUGCCAAAAAAUGUAACCUAAAUAGAAAUAGCCAUGACUCAGUUAAGCAAAACCCUAUGACACCAAUAGUAGCUUCUGAUGGCGUUUAAAUAGAACUUGAAGCAUUGUGAUGAAUGAUUCACGUUACAACAUUAGAACCUACUAAACAUGACCUUUGCGAAUAUGAAAAUCAAAUUAUGUUGCCUGUGAAUGAAGCUAAGUGUCGACCCAGGAGUUUAAGAGCGAACCAAUCACACAAGUAAGACUAGCAUUGAGUCAUGACCAUAGAGGAAACAGAGCCAUUAAUCCUAAUUUAGAAUCACUGACUUUUCAAACUACCAAAACAUGGACAAGGUCAUGCUCUAACAUCAAGAAAAGCACAUAGCGGGAUAUGUUGACAGCAACACAACCAUCUAAACCUUGAUCAAAGAAUACCAAACCAAACAGAAUAACACUCGAUUACCAUUCACAAACAGAUGAACCAAUUCGACAAAGAUGAAUAGCCACUAGAGAGAGCUUCGAAUCAGUUUCAAUCUAGACUUAGCAAUCAACUGAGGUAAAUUUGCCACAACCAACUAAGGUAAGAUGACUCGGUCAUCUUAAACUAAACAAAUCUGAACUUGGAAGAUACUUCAACAUGUAAAAGAAUCUAAGAACAUCCAAAGCAUAGAAGGUAAAUCACUCAAACUAGAUUAACUUAGUACUUGGAUCCACAUAAGAGCAGUAAAGGAUGAGGUAUGAACCUGAAAACUGGAAUUUUCAUUAUCCUUUGAUGUUCGGAUAUGAUACAAGAAAAAAUUGGACGAUGAACUUAAUAGGGGCUGAAUGAAACAGUAACGAUCCAAUCCGGAACCACGAGCUCGAACCACAAACGACAGUCAGAAAAUCAAACAAACACCACCAGAAAAUCAGUUGCACUCCAUGCUUAGACCAGAAAUAGAAUCUCAGAGAAGGAAGUGAACUGAUUUUUUUGUGUUUUUCCUUUAAUAAUUUUUUGACUUCUAGAAAUAAAACAAAAAUCAGAACGGACUCCUUUUAAAUGGUCCUUCUUUUUGGAAUUUCAUUCGUAGCCUGGAGCUCCUCUCUAUCUAUUUUUUUUUUACGUUUCUAGUUUAGUAUUUGAAACUGUAUAGUUAUAUUUGAGGAUUUAGUAUCAUAGAUUCUCCUGACUUGUGAUACUCCGGUUAGGGCUGUGUUGGGAUAGAUUUUUACUUUGUU
rnacentral:lncRNA from 1 species